CGUGAAAAUAUUAUUUUCCAUCGCUAUUGCGCGUUAUUUUUGUGUGUAAUGUUCAUCGCAUCGUAAACACUAUAAUGUUCCACCAACGCGAUAAUAAUAAUAAAUGUUUUGUCUUUGAUAUAAAUUUGCCGUUAUUAUCCGACUGACGAUAUCAUUAAUAAUGUGUUGUUACAGGCUUUAUUGUGGUAGUGGUGUUAUAGACUGCAAUCAGUAUGAUUGUGUUUUUUCGUUCUUUGUGUUCAGUUAUUUCAUUAAUUUUUAUUCCCCUCGUUACCACGCCAUUUCACUCUAUAAAAAUGUUGUGCUCCGGCCGCAGCUCCGCUCCGUACACUGAAGACAGAAAUUAUCGCAAGUUCUAUGGUCUUAUCUGAAGAAAUAAUUUUGAUUACAUUCUAUGUACCAUCUUAUUAUUACCCAUUAUCUAUAUUAUUAUUCUGGUUAUAACCCAGUUAUAUUUUCUACAGAUUGCAGCUAUUUCUAUUAGUGCUCGUAAUUUUCUAUACAAAUGUCAAUAUUUCAUAUCGAAACUUCUUAAUUUACUGUGUAUUUAAAAGUUCAAUUAAUAUUAUCAUACCGAUUCUGCUAUCAGUUCGGAUAGUGAUCAUACCUAUAUAUUUUGGUCAAUCCCCAACCGAAGGGUAAUCUUUUGGCACCUUAAAUGGAAAAAAUCUAUAAUUUAUAAUAUACUUGUAAUUUUAGAAAUAAAGUUAAAUUCUGGUCAGACAAUAAUCAACAGUUAAAAUAAUGUCUCCAUAAAACACUAGACUUUUU